CUGAGUGAGGGCCUUCGGGCUCGACCUCCAACCCUUUGUGAACACCAACUUGUUGCUUCGGGGGCGACCCUGCCGUUUCGACGGCGAGCGCCCCCGGAGACCAUCAAACACUGCAUCUUUGCGUCGGAGUUCAAGUAAAUUAAACA
rnacentral:misc_RNA from 1 species